CCUAAACCUAGAUAGUUAACCCAAACAAAACUAUCCGCCAGAGAACUACUAGCAACAGCUUAAAACUCAAAGGACUUGGCGGUGCUUUAUAUCCCUCUAGAGGAGCCUGUUCUAUAAUCGAUAAACCCCGAUAAACCUCACCAUCUCUUGCUAAUUCAGCCUAUAUACCGCCAUCUUCAGCAAACCCUAAAAAGGAAGAAAAGUAAGCACAAGUAUCUUAA
rnacentral:rRNA from 1 species